rnacentral:rRNA from 1 species
ACACAUGCAAGUCGAACGAAGCACUUCAUAAAGUUUACUUUAAGAAGUGACUUAGUGGCGGACGGGUGAGUAACGCGUGGGUAACCUGCCUUACACAGGGGGAUAACAGUUAGAAAUGACUGCUAAUACCGCAUAGAACAGCAGAGUCGCAUGACUCAACUGUCAAAGAUUUAUCGGUGUAAGAUGGACCCGCGUCUGAUUAGCUAGUUGGUGGGGUAACGGCCUACCAAGGCGACGAUCAGUAGCCGGCCUGAGAGGGUGAACGGCCACAUUGGGACUGAGACACGGCCCAAACUCCUACGGGAGGCAGCAGUGGGGAAUAUUGGACAAUGGGCGAAAGCCUGAUCCAGCGACGCCGCGUGAGCGAUGAAGUAUUUCGGUAUGUAAAGCUCUAUCAGCAGGGAAGAAAACGACGGUACCUGACUAAGAAGCCCCGGCUAACUACGUGCCAGCAGCCGCGGUAAUACGUAGGGGGCAAGCGUUAUCCGGAUUUACUGGGUGUAAAGGGAGCGUAGACGGCAUCACAAGUCAGAAGUGAAAAUCCGGGGCUCAACCCCGGAACUGCUUUUGAAACUGUGGAGCUGGAGUGCAGGAGAGGUAAGCGGAAUUCCUAGUGUAGCGGUGAAAUGCGUAGAUAUUAGGAGGAACACCAGUGGCGAAGGCGGCUUACUGGACUGUAACUGACGUUGAGGCUCGAAAGCGUGGGGAGCAAACAGGAUUAGAUACCCUGGUAGUUCACGCCGUAAACGAUGAAUACUAGGUGUUGGGUUUCAUAAGAAGCUCGGUGCCGGCGCAAACGCAUUAAGUAUUCCACCUGGGGAGUACGUUCGCAAGAAUGAAACUCA